AUGGCUCGCCUAGUGAACGUAAGACCAGGACCAUACAGCGAGCCAGUCACCGAGGAAUUCAUCGAAGCAAACCGACAUAUUGCCGACGCACACUGCCGAACUGCCAAUAAUACCGGUUACUGCAUUAAGGACGUAUUUACCCGGUGCCCCGACUAUUACAAUAACUAUUAACCGCAGCGUCGGCUACAAUGAUGCGGGAUGGUACGAGUCGGAGCUGAAGAUUGCCUUUGCCAGAAUCUGCGAUACAACCGUCGGAGCCAUAAAAAUGCAACACGCGGCCGGCAACUGCUACGUAAAGGAUCGCAUUCUCUUCAGGUCCUGUUGCCAUCUGCGCCCGGAUGAUGAAUACGAGACACAUGGAAAUGUGACGAUUGCCCAUCAGAAACUGUGCCGGAGGUUCGAGCUAGUUGCGGAACGCAUGAACGGUCCGCAAGGGACGGCAAUGGCUGGAAAGUGUGGACAGGACGCC